rnacentral:rRNA from 1 species
GACGAACGCUGGCGGCGUGCUUAACACAUGCAAGUCGAACGGAAAGGCCCUGCUUUUGUGGGGUGCUCGAGUGGCGAACGGGUGAGUAACACGUGAGUAACCUGCCCUUGACAUUGGGAUAACUUCAGGAAACUGGGGCUAAUACCGGAUAGGAGCUCCUGCUGCAUGGUGGGGGUUGGAAAGUUUCGGCGGUUGGGGAUGGACUCGCGGCUUAUCAGCUUGUUGGUGGGGUAGUGGCUUACCAAGGCUUUGACGGGUAGCCGGCCUGAGAGGGUGACCGGCCACAUUGGGACUGAGAUACGGCCCAGACUCCUACGGGAGGCAGCAGUGGGGAAUAUUGCACAAUGGGCGGAAGCCUGAUGCAGCAACGCCGCGUGCGGGAUGACGGCCUUCGGGUUGUAAACCGCUUUCGCCUGUGACGAAGCGUGAGUGACGGUAAUGGGUAAAGAAGCACCGGCUAACUACGUG